rnacentral:rRNA from 1 species
CCCUUAGAUGCUCUGGGCCGCACGCGCGCUACACUGGUCGAUGCAACGAGUUUCUUUCCUUGGCCGACAGGCCUGGGCAAUCUUUGAACAUCGAUCGUGAUCGGGAUAGAUUCUUGUAAUUUUUGAUCUUAAACGAGGAAUUCCUAGUAAACGCAAGUCAUCAGCUUGCAUUGAUUACGUCCCUGCCCUUUGUACACACCGCCCGUCGCUGCCCGGAACUGAGCCGUUUCGAGAAGACUGAGGAUUGCUGACUUGAGGCCUUCACGGGCUUCUAGUCGGUGAAAAUCAAUUUAAUCGCAGCGGCUUGAACCGGGCAAAAGUCGUAACA